AACGAACGCUGGCGGCAUGCCUAACACAUGCAAGUCGAACGAGACCUCCGUGUAUACUGGCGCACGGGUGCGUCACGCGUCGGAACCUGCCCUUAUGUUCGGAAUUAUUCCCUGAAAUGGGUGCUAACACCGGAUAAUUUCUUCUGAUCAAAGAUUUAUCGCCUUUGUAUGGGCCCGCGUUCCAUUAGCUGGUUGGUAUGGUAAAAGCCUACGAAGGCUUAGAUCCAUAGCUGGUCAGAGAGGAAGAUCAGCCACACUGAGGGUAGGAAGCAGCCGAGACUAAUACGGAAGGCGGGAGUGGGGGAUAAAGGAAAAUGGGCGAAAGACUGAAGCAGCAAGGCAGCGAGAGUGAUGAAGGCGGUAAGGAAGAAAAGCACGUUUAUACCGGAUGAUAAUGACGGUACCGAAAGAAUAAGCACCGGCUAACUCCGUG
rnacentral:rRNA from 1 species